rnacentral:rRNA from 1 species
UACGUAGGGUGCAAGCGUUGUCCGGAAUUAUUGGGCGUAAAGAGCUCGUAGGCGGUUUGUCGCGUCUGCUGUGAAAAUCCAGGGCUUAACCCUGGACCUGCAGUGGGUACGGGCAGACUAGAGUGCGGUAGGGGAGAUCGGAAUUCCUGGUGUAGCGGUGAAAUGCGCAGAUAUCAGGAGGAACACCGGUGGCGAAGGCGGGUCUCUGGGCAGUAACUGACGCUGAGACGCGAAAGCGUGGGGAGCGAACAGG